GUAUUUUAACCUGACAAAUGUGUUUCAAAAAAUUGUGCAACAGAAUUUUGCUCAUAUCUUUCAGAAUUGCCCUGAAGGGAAAGUUUUAAUCUAUGAACAGUAAAACCUAAAACAUGAUACGCUAAGAACCAGCAUUAGGAUUCUGUAAAACCAUUUACCAUUGGAUAAGCUGACAGAUGACCAAUCAAACAGCUCGAUACAAUCUUUCUUAAAAAUGGCUGCGCCCAGUUAAAAAUUCGACUUCACAGAAUACAGAAUGAUUUCAUCUGAUUGAUGAAUUGAGAAUAUUUAGAAAAACGAGAGAUAAUGAAUGUGUUUUGUAGAAUGCCUAAGAGGAAGAAAAGGCAGAAUGUGCCGUAUCACAGGAAAAGACGUGGAACUGGAAAAUUACGAAAAGACAAAGUUGAAACUGAAAUAAUUCAGACAGACCAUACACAUGAUAAAGAUCUUUUGCAGUCUGAAAUAGGAGAACUUAUAAAUAUAUGCAACAAUGUCAAUUCAGUCGCAUUUGAUCAUGUGCAUUCAGUCGCCUUGGAUCAUUCAUAUUUGGCAGACAACCAGAUAGUUGCCGAUCUUUAUUUGGAUGAAGAAACAGAAGAAUUUAUUCAUGAAUAUAUUGAACUUGGAUACCAAGAAGAGUAUGUAACAACUUCAAUUGAAUACAUACCAGAAGACCCUUAUGACACAUUAAAAAAGACAGUUUGUACUAUUGUAACUUCACCAUAUAUAUGUAAUUCUGCAGGGGAUAAUUUACAAAUUAUCGAACUUUAUCCAUCAACUUAAAAUGUAUGGGUAAAGUCUACUAUAAUGAUCAGCAGAGAUUUUACAGCUAAGGUAUAUGUUCACAACAUUGAAUUAAGCAGUGAACAUGAUCUAUGGUUAGGAUUACCGAGUGUUUAUGACGAUAUAACUAGCAUAGAGAGACUAUUGUCAAAGUUAAAGACUUAUACUGUUUGUUGUGGGAACUAUGAGCAAGAGUAACUAGAUACAAGUAUUACUCCCAUGGGGAGCACCAUAGAGGAAGAAGCAGAUGUUGAGAGUUGUCAAGGUUUUAAAGAACAUGAUUUUGGUGCUAUAAAAGGAACUCUUACUUACAUGUACUCUUCAACAGUUCGCAGUGUCAGUUGUUUGUUGCUAGUGCAAGGAAACAGAUAUAUCCGAUGCUCGUCAUGUUCUCGACUUUGACGCAUUCUUUGGGCACGAAAAGGAAGACUUGAAAAGAAAAAAAAAGCUAAGUGAUGGUGAAACUCCAAAUUACUUAUCGCUCAACUAUAAGCAUUGCUUCAUGUCAAGAGAGGAGCUCAUUGGUAAAAUUUCACAGCAAAGAAAUAUUAUCUCCAGUUUGCAAAAAGAUCUCAAAAACUCAAAGGAUGUUUCAAUGUGAACAAAUGAAUUUAAAGUAUCUUGUGCAGAUGGUACAAAUACAAUGGACUCUUAACAUGUGAUAACUAUGGCUUCAGUUAUUGUACAGUCUUACAAAGAAAACAACCAUCUAACGUAACUGGAGCACAAAGAAUUCCUGGUAUUCAAAGACAGAAACUUAAGCUAUGUAGUCAGUAACACACUACAUGUAGAAAGAAAUAUUUUAUAUCAGCCAAUUAGAAUUCAUGUGAUAUACAAAGAAAUGUAUUUUGAACUUCGUGUAAGUGUUGAGGAUAGAGAUAUAAUAAUUGGGACAGUUACCAAGGCAGUUGGAAAAA